rnacentral:rRNA from 1 species
UAUUGGUCAAUGGACGCAAGUCUGAACCAGCCAUGCCGCGUGCAGGAAGACGGCUCUAUGAGUUGUAAACUGCUUUUGUACGAGGGUAAAUCCCGAUACGUGUAUCGGGUUGAAAGUAUCGUACGAAUAAGGAUCGGCUAACUCCGGGCCAGCAGCCGCGGUAAUACGGAGGAUUCAAGCGUUAUCCGGAUUUAUUGGGUUUAAAGGGUGCGUAGGCGGUUCGAUAAGUUAGAGGUGAAAUCCCGGGGCUCAACUCCGGCACUGCCUCUGAUACUGUCGGGCUAGAGUUUAGUUGCGGUAGGCGGAAUGUAUGGUGUAGCGGUGAAAUGCAUAGAGAUCAUACAGAACACCGAUUGCGAAGGCAGCUUACCAAACUACGACUGACGUUGAGGCACGAAAGCGUGGGGAGCAAACA